GUGUGUGUGUGUGUGUGUGUGUGUGUCACUAUAAAAUAAAAAUUUGACAUGGCAAGAUGGCUACUUCCAGAUUUAAGCUUUAAUAGCUUUGAAGUCCAACUACUUCAUUUAGACUGGAACGGCCCACUAUGCAUAGACAUAAUCUAUCGCCCACCUCACUCCACAAAAGAUUUCAUCAAGCACUUCAUUGAACUGAUCGGCAACAUGACAAUUUCUGACGAUCGUUUCAUACUAGUAGGCGAUUUUAAUAUUCACAUUUGCUGUCAAUCAAACUCUUUUGCUCAAGAUUUCAUCAACCUGUUGGAUCCCUUCGGCAUCACUCAAUGGAUACAUAAAACCACACACGCCCUGGGCCACACACUGGAUCUCCUUUUAGCAUUAAGCUUUCCGACAUUGUACUCUCCCAAUUUUUAAUUUCCGAUCACAUACCUAUUCUAUUUACGCCAUCCCUCACGAAGAUUGCAUAUUGCCUUUAUACGCCUACCAUGCUGUCAACAAUCUACACAUCCAAUUUUAGCUCGAAUUUUAACCAGCGCUUUACCGAUUUCUACGUCAAAUCGCGCCUAGAUGACCCUUCAUCAGAACUGGAUGCUGAGCAACAUCUGGAUCUGCUGCACUCGGUCUGCCAAAUAGCGGCUAUCAAAUCUGCACCCCUGAAAUUAUGCAGACAAAAAAUAAAAUCUGAACCUUGGAAAACGUUAGAGACACGCACUUUAAAACAAAAAUAUUGACAGGCUGAACAUAAAUGGAAAAAGGACAGACUUACCAUGUCUCUUCAACUUUUCAGAUCUGCUCUGUUUUCUGUUUUAGAAAAAAAUUGUACUUAAUCAAUUACAAAGAUUUCUAUCCCAGAAUAAUAUCGCUGAGCCUUUUCGAUCUGGCUUUAGGCCGGCCCAUAGCACUGAAUCCGCUUUAUUAGGAGUUUUGAAUGACAUCUAUCUCCUCACUAAUGCUGUUAAUCACGUGGCCUUAAUUUUGCUGGAUUUAUCCACAGCCUUCGAUACUAUUGACCACUCUGUGUUAUUAUCUCAGCUAGAGUCCUGGGUUGGGCUGAAGGGUACAGUGCUGAAAUGAUUUAAAUCAUACAUCUCCGACAGGAAGUUUUUUGUCAAAAUUGGUAACUUUUCCUCCUCUACGGCACCGUUAACGUGUGGUCUUCCCCAAGGCUCAAUUCUAGCACCUUCACUAUUCUCUCUUUAUAUGCUCCCUCUAGGUUCUAUUUUCAGUAAACAUGGCCUGCAUUUUUAUUUUUAUGCAGACGAUACACAAAUCUAUAUGUCACUGAAAAAGCAAAAUGAGUCCUCUGUUGUGAACUCCCUUUCACUAUGCGUGGAGGAGGUAAAAGCAUGGCUUUCUGAGAACUUUUUAUUUCUAAAUGUGAAGAAAACAGAAGUGAUUUUAUUUGGGCCCUAUGAUUUGUCUGACUGUAAACGCCCCAGGCUGGGUAACUUGGAGGAGUUCAAAUCACCCCAGGUACGCAACCUGGGCAUAACAUUAGACCAGAACUUAAAAUUUGAUAAACAUAUCUCAAAAGUUGUGGGAAAUAGUGUCUACCAAUUUCGCCUUCUUUCAAAAAUGAAAUCCUCUCUUCCUUCACACUCUCUAGAAAUUGCCUUACACGCACUUAUAACCUCCCGGUUAGACUAUUGCAACUCGCUCUAUUUUGGCCUGCCUAAGUCUCAGAUUGCUCGGCUACAGUUAGUGCAAAAUGCAGCAGCUAGAUUCUUAACAAAAAGCCCAAAAUAUGCACACAUCACUCCUAUUCUGAGGCUCUACAUUGGCCAACGGUGACACAAAGAAUCAAAUUUAAAAUCCUUUUCUUUGUGUAUAAAGCCCUACAUGGUCUAGGCCCUCAUUAUUUAUCCCAACUGAUUGUUAAUUACACUCCUCCAAGACACUUGCGUUCCGCUGAUCAGUUUUUAUUAAAAGUUUCAAAGGCCCAUGUGACGGGUGUUAAUAAGAGUAUUAAUUUAAUGCAUUUCACUAAUAGUCCCUCCUUUUAAUUUUCGUGCAUUUGUUUUGCAUCAAUUUGUUUAGACAUAUGUUAGAAUUUAGUUUUUACUCUAUUUGUGUUGUUUAAUGAAAAUAGUUUUAUAUUUGUUUUGCGCGCAACGUUACUUCCGGUUGCCGCGCUACGUCACUUCCGGUUGCCGCGCAACGUCACUUCCGGUUGCCGCGCUGGGUUCUCAGACCGCAUUGAGCGCGCCGAGGAGAGGUGGGGAAAUUUACAAACGAAAUCAUAUCAACUUACUGUGCUGUUUUCUGAUUCAUCCAGGUAUUGUUUUAUGUACAUUUAUGCUUCUUUGUGUUUACAUUUGUUUCGCAAUUACAUUAAUUUCUAAUAUAAAGUUAGAUAGGGGAAGAUUAAUUAAUAUCACAAUGUAUGGAACUGUAAUCAUUUGUUAUUUUUAUUUAUUUACUUUUUGUACUUUUGUGAUCUGUUUACCCAGUUUUAAUUGGGUAUGAUGUUAUUGUUAUGUUUGCUCAGACCGCAUUGAGCGCGCCGAGGAGAGGUGGGGAAAUUUACAAACGAAAUCAUAUCAACUUACUGUGCUGUUUUCUGAUUCAUCCAGUUUGCUCUGAUCUGACGCUUGAGUGACAAUAAACCCACCAUCAGCAGUA